AGAGUUUGAUCCUGGCUCAGAACGAACGCUGGCGGCGUGGAUAAGACAUGCAAGUCGAACGAGAGAAUUGCUAGCUUGCUAAUAAUUCUCUAGUGGCGCACGGGUGAGUAACACGUGAGUAACCUGCCCCCGAGAGCGGGAUAGCCCUGGGAAACUGGGAUUAAUACCGCAUAGUAUCGAAAGAUUAAAGCAGCAAUGCGCUUGGGGAUGGGCUCGCGGCCUAUUAGUUAGUUGGUGAGGUAACGGCUCACCAAGGCGAUGACGGGUAGCCGGUCUGAGAGGAUGUCCGGCCACACUGGAACUGAGACACGGUCCAGACACCUACGGGUGGCAGCAGUCGAGAAUCAUUCACAAUGGGGGAAACCCUGAUGGUGCGACGCCGCGUGGGGGAAUGAAGGUCUUCGGAUUGUAAACCCCUGUCAUGUGGGAGCAAAUUAAAAAGAUAGUACCACAAGAGGAAGAGACGGCUAACUCUGUGCCAGCAGCCGCGGUAAUACAGAGGUCUCAAGCGUUGUUCGGAAUCACUGGGCGUAAAGCGUGCGUAGGCUGUUUCGUAAGUCGUGUGUGAAAGGCGCGGGCUCAACCCGCGGACGGCACAUGAUACUGCGAGACUAGAGUAAUGGAGGGGGAACCGGAAUUCUCGGUGUAGCAGUGAAAUGCGUAGAUAUCGAGAGGAACACUCGUGGCGAAGGCGGGUUCCUGGACAUUAACUGACGCUGAGGCACGAAGGCCAGGGGAGCGAAAGGGAUUAGAUACCCCUGUAGUCCUGGCAGUAAACGGUGCACGCUUGGUGUGCGGGGAAUCGACCCCCUGCGUGCCGGAGCUAACGCGUUAAGCGUGCCGCCUGGGGAGUACGGUCGCAAGAUUAAAACUCAAAGAAAUUGACGGGGACCCGCACAAGCGGUGGAGUAUGUGGCUUAAUUCGAUGCAACGCGAAGAACCUUACCUGGGCUUGACAUGUAAUGAACAACAUGUGAAAGCAUGCGACUCUUCGGAGGCGUUACACAGGUGCUGCAUGGCCGUCGUCAGCUCGUGUCGUGAGAUGUUUGGUUAAGUCCAGCAACGAGCGCAACCCCUGUUGCCAGUUACCAGCACGUGAAGGUGGGGACUCUGGCGAGACUGCCCAGAUUAACUGGGAGGAAGGUGGGGACGACGUCAGGUCAGUAUGGCCCUUAUGCCCAGGGCUGCACACGUACUACAAUGCCCAGUACAGAGGGGGCCGAAGCCGCGAGGCGGAGGAAAUCCUAAAAACUGGGCCCAGUUCGGACUGUAGGCUGCAACCCGCCUACACGAAGCCGGAAUCGCUAGUAAUGGCGCAUCAGCUACGGCGCCGUGAAUACGUUCCCGGGUCUUGCACUCACCGCCCGUCA
rnacentral:rRNA from 1 species